rnacentral:lncRNA from 1 species
ACCCACAUUUAUCGUGUCCAUAUGCGUCGUGCCCAUCCAAAAGUUCACACUGAUUUCCCUCCAGAAUUUCACAUCGAUUGGCAUGCAAUCCGACACCUGUGGUAGUACUAGUUGCCUGUCAACCUAAGAUAUGUAUAGAACUAGUUCAGUGGUUACUGUUUGUAAGUUUGUAUAUAUUCAUGUAUUGGUUGUUCUAUAACUGAUGACUUUCAUCUUACUGAAAAAGCAUCGUGUAUGACUGUCUGUAUCCAAACAUGCAAAGUGUCUUUAAGACAAUAUUAUUUAGCCCUUAACUUUGUCUAUAUAAGAAAAGUCUAGUAUUUAUUUUAUAGGCAGAAUACAACAAACUUGUUCCAAAGCAUGAAGAUUGUUGGAUAGUUUAUCUGUGUGUUGUCUACGCUUCCAGUGCUUGAACUUUUCCUCCUGGAUUUUUGGGCUUCAUGGUCUAGAUCUCAUUCACUUGGAGUUGAUGAUUCAAUAAUUAUUCAGAUUCAAGUAUUCAAAUUACUACUUGUAAAAUGUGAAAAGUGAUCAAUGGCUUUAAAGGUAAAGUUUCUCAGCUACUGUAAGGUUGAUUAGGUAUGAUGUUUUCAUUAACUCUUCUGAUUAUGCAUUGAGGGUUUUUUUUUUUUUUUUUUUUUUUAGUUGUAGCAGGUGGUAUGUGAUAGGAGUUUUUUUAGAUAUAUCUAGUAAAUGCUUGAAUGCAUGGUGACUAUUUGGAUAUAUCUAGGUAUGUGAUAGGUGUUGGCCCCUUGAACAUAGGGGAUUUGAGGGGGUGACUUCAUGAUGAUAAUUUUUUUUUUUUUUAAAAAAAAGAAAAAAAUGGAUUUAGGGUGGAAAAUUUUUCAUGGGUAGGGUUGUUUAGUUUUGGAGCUUAGGGCAUGAGCAAUGUGUUCAAUUGAAGCAUUCUAUUUCAAAUCAUAUUCAAGAGAGAUGAGUAAAAACCAGGAUUUAUAGUGUGGGAAUGGUGNNNNNNNNNNNNNNNNNNNNNNNNNNNNNNNNNNNNNNNNNNNNNNNNNNNNNNNNNNNNNNNNNNNNNNNNNNNNNNNNNNNNNNNNNNNNNNNNNNNNAUCUAGGGUUCUUAAUGUGAAAAGACCUUUCUAUUUCCUUUUAAUUUAAUCAUAUUUAUUUCUUUAUUUUAAAAUUCUUAUUUUACCCCUAGUGUUAAGUUUAGGGUGUUGCAUUAAUAUUGGUAUUAAGGACCUACAAUGUUCUGUAGAGACAGGUGAUGCAGAUGUGGGGAGUCAGGUCACUGUUACAUGAGUCCAUAGACUCGUUUAUCCAUUUAAUUGUAAGGGAUGGAUGUGUUCCCUCAAAUGCCUUGGAAAACAAAAGGAAAUGUGUUCAUUGACAGUUGAGAUGCUUAAAGUUGUUUACAUUACAUGUAUGUAUAAUGCUCAACAAAUGACAUGAAGUUUAAACUCUAGAUGUGCAACUCUUUACAAAUGAGCUGUCUGAUGGUCUUCUCUUAUCUACAAAUUAUUGAUAUUUUCAUGAUGGGGCUGAUCAUGAAUUUUGUGCAGGGUCGUGUAGUACCUCUGAUGGCAUGCAUAUUUCUAUUAAUAAUCCUGUGGCUUUCUGUUGCCUCAACCUGCAUUUAUCGUAUCCAUAUGCGUCGUGCCCAUCCAAAAGCUCACACUGAUUUCCCUCCAGAAUUUCACAUCGAUUGGCAUGCAAUCCGACACCUGUGGUAGUUCUAGUUGCCUGUCAACCUAAGAUAUGUAUAGAACUAGUUCAAUGGUUACUGUUUGUAAGUUUGUAUAUAUUCACGUAUUGGUUGUUCUAUAACUGAUGACUUUCAUCUUACUGAAAAAGCAUCGUGUAUGACUGUCUGACAUCCAAACAUGCAAGGUGUCUUUAAGACAAUAUUAUUUAGCCCUUAACUUUGUCUAUAUAAGAAAAGUCCAGUAUUUAUUUUAUAGGCAGAAUAGAACAAAUUUGUUCCAAAGCAUGAAGAUUGUUGGAUAGUUUAUCUGUGUGUUGUCUACACAUCCUGUGCUUGAACUUUUCCUCCUGGAUUUUUGGGCUUCAUGGUCUAGAUCUCAUUCACUUGGAGUUGAUGAUUCAAUAAUUAUUCAGAUUCAAGUAUUCAAAUUACUACUAGUAAAAUGUGAAAAGUGAUCAAUGGCUUUAAAGGUAAAGUUUCUCAGCUACUGUAAGGUUGAUUAGGUAUGAUGU